GAGUCCCAAAACACGAGUAGCCCCCCCACCUGUUUUAAGUUUUAUAUUGAAAAGCGUGAACACCUGCAGCUUCUGUGGGUACCAAGGAGAGGCCAAAAAAAGGUAUAGAAAGGUCUAAGACCAUGGCUUUGCCCGUUAGACGAAGCAGUUAUCUGCCUCUUCGGGUUUUCUGGCAGCACGAGUGAACAGCGAACCUGACUUGCACUUUUCUGUCCUUUCUCCCAGUGCAUCACUUAGUAAUCUGAUCCAAUAGAAUCCCAUCUAGGUUGAGAAUUAUAAUCCCUCAUACUGACAUAAUCUUCAAGUAUUUUCAAUGCAAUAUACCUUUAAGUGAACAAGUAACUUCUUUCAGAAGCUACACACCAGUCACUUUGGAGAUGGAAGGCACCUAAACUCCCGAAGUCAGGACAAAGGCCAGAUGUUCUUCUGAAUGAGUCGAGAAACCCAACUCUGCAUCCCCAGUUUUUGCCGUCCUGCCCCGCCUAGGUGGUCACCGUGUACUGUGCAGCCUGUCAUGUCACAGGUUGCACUGGAUGGUCCAAGACUCCAGCGUGAAAUACUCUUAGGCAGCUGUUCAUUUAAUUCUAGUGAUAGCACUCAAAAAAUUUUAUAUAGAUGUCCUUAGCUCAUAACACCAGCUAAUUAUUAAUAAACUGGCAUUAACAUGUUUAUCUAGGUGUAAGAAGUCAGUUAUCGUGGUCAAGGUUUCCAAGGGAUUCAGGUGAUACAUCAGAGCAGAUGAACGAUGAUAAUGAAUUGAUUUAUCUUCUUUAUCCAGACACCUAGAAGUCACUUUCUGUUUUUGUUCUAUUUUUCUUUGGUAGCCCUUUAAACUUCUAGGCUUUUUAGAUGUCGAAAACAUCCCCUGUGCCCGGGAUUCCAUACUGUACGGUUCCUUAGGGGCUGCUGUGGCUGGUCUUGGACAUUUUUUAUUAACUAAAUUAGAAGAUCAUGUGAUGUUGGAGUAGGAGGAUUUUUCUUGGUGACGUUAGGAUGCUGGUUCCACUGUAGGUACAAUUAUGCA